AAAGAGCAAAAGCUGCUAAAGUGCAUUUGAUUAUAAAUGCUGCUGAAAAAAUCCAACUUGUACAUUUUAAAAAUGCCUUGACUUCAAAAUUUAAGUCUAAGGACAGGCUACUUGGAAAAAAGAGUUUCUACUUAUGUUUCCACAGAAAAUGAAAAGCUAUGGAUUCCUUCCAGACUAAUAUGGUUUCAUCAAGCAAGACCCCCUUAAGCAGUGACCCAACUGAUCCUACAUCCAAAGCAGCUGAGAUGAUGCAGUCAUAGACCACUGCAGCCAGGAUUUCUGUGUUUUAUCAUGAUCUCCAUGGAUGACUGGAAUAUACGCACAGAGAAAUGUUCACAGGACUUUAUUCAUUUACAGAACUGCAAAUCUCUACCAUCAAAAUCUCACAGAAAAGAACUUUGAAAUAAUCUUCAGCCAAGCAGUCACCACCACAUACCUUUAAUCCCAGCACUCGGGAGGCAGAGGCAAGCGGAUCCCUGUGAGUUUGAGACCAGCCUGGUCUACAAGAGCUAGUUCCACGACAGGCUCCAAAGCUACACAGAGAAAUUCUGCCUUGAAAAACCAAAACCAAAAAUAAAAGAAAUAAUUUUCCACUCUGUAAAAUAUGCCUUCCUGCUACUCAGACCAAGAAACACGGGAAAUUAUCCACUGGUAACUUAGAAAAGAGAAAAUAAAUGGCAAAAAAAUUAAAACCAUUUUGAAAAGGGUAAGACACAAGGAUUGGAAAAUGAGGCAUUGAGAAAAAUAUUCCUGGGAAAUUACAA
rnacentral:lncRNA from 1 species